GAUCCUGGUUCAGAGCGAACGCUGGCGGCAGGCCUAACACAUGCAAGUCGAACGGACCCUUCGGGGUUAGUGGCGGACGGGUGAGUAACACGUGGGAACGUGCCUUUAGGUUCGGAAUAGCUCCUGGAAACGGGUGGUAAUGCCGAAUGUGCCCUUCGGGGAAAGGAUUUAUUGCCUUUAGAGCGGCCCGCGUCUGAUUAGCUAGUUGGUGAGGUAACGGCUCACCAAGGCGACGAUCAGUAGCUGGUCUGAGAGG
rnacentral:rRNA from 1 species